rfam:Lupinus angustifolius cultivar Tanjil contig_17288, whole genome shotgun sequence.
CUGUAUCUUAGAGUUCUUCUGAACGCUUCAUAUGAGAGGCUAAUUAGUCUAAUGUAAUUUCAUUACAAAUGAUAGUCCUUCUUCAAUGAAGUGUUUGGGGGAACUCUUGGGUCCAA